CCUACGGGUGGCAGCAGUGAGGAAUAUUGGUCAAUGGACGAGAGUCUGAACCAGCCAAGUAGCGUGAAGGAUGACUGCCCUAUGGGUUGUAAACUUCUUUUAUAAAGGAAUAAAACUAGGCACGUGUGCCUUUUUGCAUUUACUUUAUGAAAAAGCAUCGGCUAACUUCGUGCCAGCAGCCGCGGUAAUACGGUGGAUGCGAGCGUUAUCCGGAUUGAUUGGGUUUAAAGGGUGCGUAGGCGGGCUGUUAAGUCAGCGGUCAAAAGUCGGGGCUCAACCCCGGCCCGCCGUUGAAACUGGCGGCCUAGAGUGGGCGAGAAGUAUGCGGAAUGCGUGGUGUAGCGGUGAAAUGCAUAGAUAUCACGCAGAACUCCGAUUGCGAAGGCAGCAUACCGGCGCCCGACUGACGCUGAGGCACGAAAGCGUGGGUAUCGAACAGGAUUAGAUACCCUUGUAGU
rnacentral:rRNA from 1 species